AUGAGAUCAGUCCUCCGCACGCACCCUCUCUUCCUCCAUCCCUCCCUCCCUCCCUCCCUUCCGUGGGGGGGGGGGGGAAUCAGUGGUGACUUGGUUUCCAUAACAACUGCAAGUAGCAGAGAUUUGAGGAGUCGGGGGCUUCAGAGACAUGGGGAGAGGAUGCUUGUGACCGUAGACCAGCUCGGGCUGCUUCUGUCCCGUCCUCGGCUUCCAUCACAGGCCACAGAGAGGUGCUCCAGCCAGCAUCAUGGAGCCGCCGUCACAGGGAUGAGAGGAUGCUCACGAACUGAAUGGACAUGUUUCAUGGACGUGGGAAUGAACAGUAUUUCAAAGGGACAUUGCAUAAUGCAUUACUGUUAUUAUUGUUGUUAUUCCACAUGCCACUACGCUAUGGUUCCUAUCCGCCAAUCAGGUUCUCAAUCUCGCCACUACUCUGUGGCUUAACUGUGGAUAUCAAGUGUUCUUUACAAAAGAAAAGUCAUUAUAUUUAUUCCAGAAUUCUUUUUUGUACGGUUUUAUUUGGGUUCUUACUUGAUGUUUGUUGUUUUAUAGUUGUGUAAAACAGUUAAACACUGAUUUGGUUGAUAGUUGAGUUGCAUGUCAGUCCUUUGUGCAUGCAUGUCUGUCAGUGAGUUCCCUGGGAUGGGACACCAGCACACGUCCAGAGGCAUCACGCUGAAGCGUUCUUUAGCCGUUAAAAUCAGUCCCUUUUAGAGCCAUUCAUUAUAUAGAAAUAACAAUACAACACAUUGCUAUUUUUAGCUUGCAUUUAUCAGAAUUCUGCAGAAUAUUUGAUUUAUGGAAGUCCACAGAACAUUGUUAAAAUCCCAUCCACUAGAUGGAUGACAAUACUCUGUGUGAGGUAUCCUCUGGUAAGAUUUAUGUUGUUCAUAUGAUGGCUGCUAGGUUUCAUCGUAGCUUAGAAUACUGCAGUGGGAUCUCCACUUCCCCUUACCACAUGUAAGCUCCCUCAAAAUGAAUACCAGGAGAGUUCUUGAUGGAUACCAAUAUACUGGCCAUAAUCCCCCAGUGAAAUCACCAGGGCCUGGACAUUAAUACUCAUUUCCUGAGAGGGUAGCUGUGGGAACAAAUGUUGCUCACCAACAGAGGGGAAGAGGAGAGAUGAGAAAGGAGGGGAGAGCAGAAGACAGGAGGAAAGGAGAUGAGGGAACAGAGGAUAAGAGUAAUUAGAAGCUUGGCCCACAAGGGAUCUGGGACCACAGGCUAUGCUCCCUAUCUCAUUUUCUCUAGGCAAGCCAGGGCGAGCACACUAAGGACAAAUAUAAUACAUGAUCCCCCUAUACACACACACACACACAUACACACACACACAUACACACACACACACAUACACACUUGUGUCUCCAUGCUCUGUUAACAUGUUAAUACACGAGGUAUGUCACUGUGGGUGCAGCGGGUGGGCGUGAUGACUUAUCUGUUUACACUGUAGUGGAGCGAAUCCAGCGGUCUAAUAAACACCUUCAACUUCAGCUUACUUUGGCUCUC
rnacentral:lncRNA from 1 species